CCUACGGGAGGCAGCAGUGAGGAAUAUUGCACAAUGGGCGAAAGCCUGAUGCAGCGACGCCGCGUGGGUGAAGAAGGUUUUCGGAUCGUAAAACCCUUUUCUGUGUGACGAGCAAGGACGGUAGCACAGGAAUAAGUCUCGGCUAACUACGUGCCAGCAGCCGCGGUAAAACGUAGGAGACAAACGUUAUCCGGAGUUACUGGGCGUAAAGGGCGUGUAGGUGGUUUUGUAAGUCUGGCGUGAAAUAUCUCGGCUUAACCGGGGACAGGUCGUCGGAUACUGCAGAACUAGAGGACGGUAGAGGCGUGUGGAAUUCCGGGUGUAGUGGUGAAAUGCGUAGAGAUCCGGAGGAACACCGGUGGCGAAGGCGACACGCUGGGCCGUACCUGACACUGAGGCGCGAUAGCAUGGGGAGCAAACAGGAUUAGAAACCCUGGUAGUCCAUGCCGUAAACGAUGCUAGCUGGGUGUUCAGUGGGGGAAACCCCACGGGGUACCGAGUCAACACGGUAAGCUAGCCGCCUGGGGAGGUACGGUCGCGAGAUAAACUACGAAGAAGUAGACGCGNGAGACGNGCCGACGGACGACGACGAGGGAGGUUAGG
rnacentral:rRNA from 1 species